UACAGAGGGUGCGAGCGUUAAUCGGAAUUACUGGGCGUAAAGCGCGCGUAGGCGGCUUUGCAAGUCGAUUGUGAAAUCCCCAGGCUUAACCUGGGAACUGCAUUCGAGACUGCAUAGCUAGAGUAUGGGAGAGGGAAGUGGAAUUUCAGGUGUAGCGGUGAAAUGCGUAGAUAUCUGAAGGAACAUCAGUGGCGAAGGCGGCGAUCUGGGUUGAUACUGACGCUGAGGUGCGAAAGCGUGGGGAGCAAACAGG
rnacentral:rRNA from 1 species